GAUGAACGCUGGCGGCGUGCCUAAUACAUGCAAGUCGAGCGAACAGACGAGAAGCUUGCUCCUCUGAUGUUAGCGGCGGACGGGUGAGUAACACGUGGAUAACCUACCUAUAAGACUGGGAUAACUUCGGGAAACCGGAGCUAAUACCGGAUAAUAUAUUGAACCGCAUGGUUCAAUAGUGAAAGACGGUCUUGCUGUCACUUAUAGAUGGAUCCGCGCUGCAUUAGCUAGUUGGUAAGGUAACGGCUUACCAAGGCAACGAUGCAUAGCCGACCUGAGAGGGUGAUCGGCCACACUGGAACUGAGACACGGUCCAGACUCCUACGGGAGGCAGCAGUAGGGAAUCUUCCGCAAUGGGCGAAAGCCUGACGGAGCAACGCCGCGUGAGUGAUGAAGGUCUUCGGAUCGUAAAACUCUGUUAUUAGGGAAGAACAAAUGUGUAAGUAACUGUGCACAUCUUGACGGUACCUAAUCAGAAAGCCACGGCUAACUACGUG
rnacentral:rRNA from 1 species